UACGUAGGUGGCAAGCGUUGUCCGGAGUUAUUGGGCGUAAAGCGCGCGCAGGCGGUGCGGUAAGUCUCUGGUGAAAGCGCUCGGCUUAACUGGGCGAGGGCCGGGGAGACUGCCACGCUGGAGGGGAGCAGAGGCGAGUGGAAUUCCGGGUGUAGUGGUGAAAUGCGCAGAUAUCGGGAAGAACACCCGUGGCGAAGGCGGCUCUCUGGGACGGUACUGACGCUGAGACGCGAAAGCGUGGGGAGCGAACAGG
rnacentral:rRNA from 1 species